GUCGAACGCUGGCGGCGUGCUUAACACAUGCAAGUCGAACGAAGUGGCGAACGGGUGAGUAACGCGUAAUCAACCUGCCCUUCAGCGGGGGACAACAGUUGGAAACGACUGCUAAUACCGCAUACUGAAGGAGGGGAUUGCGUCUGAUUAGCGGGUUGGAGGGGUAACGGCCCACCAAGGCGAUGAUCAGUAGCCGGGCUGAGAGGAUGAACGGCCACAUUGGGACUGGGACACGGCCCAGACUCCUACGGGAGGCAGCAGUGGGGAAUCUUCCGCAAUGGACGAAAGUCUGGCGGAGCAACGGCGCGUGAGUGAUGACGGCCUUCGGGUUGGAAAGCUCUGUUAAUCGGGACGCGGUACCGGAAUAGAAAGCAACGGCUAACUACGUGCCAGCAGCCGCGGUAAUUC
rnacentral:rRNA from 1 species